rnacentral:misc_RNA from 1 species
UAAACAAGGAACAUACUUGAUAGAGUUGAUUGUUGAAAAAUCGGGUAUGUUUAAUGCUAAAUAGUGGAUUGAGAUUGUUUAUAUAAAAUUUUGAUGAAUGGAGAAUGAAGAUAUUUUGGGUGGGCUUUGCUUGGACAUUUUUGAAAAGAAGGGAAAAGGCUCCGUUAUAUCAAAUUGCACUUGUAAAGGUCUUCAGAAAAAAGUAUUGUUGAUAGUGCAUGAAGAGGUGAAUCUAUUUCAUAGUAUGCAUGAAUGGUUCAAUCAUGAACUAAGGAUGGAAAUUUGGUCUGAUAAGAGUGAGUUAUAGAUAAU